rnacentral:rRNA from 1 species
UGGGGAAUAUUGCACAAUGGGGGAAACCCUGAUGCAGCGACGCCGCGUGAACGAAGAAGGUAUUCGUAUCGUAAAGUUCUGUCCUAUGGGAAGAUAAUGACAGUACCAUAGAAGAAAGCUCCGGCUAAAUACGUGCCAGCAGCCGCGGUAAUACGUAUGGAGCGAGCGUUGUCCGGAAUUAUUGGGCGUAAAGGGUACGCAGGCGGUUUAAUAAGUCGAAUGUUAAAGAUCGGGGCUCAACCCCGCAAAGCAUUGGAAACUGAUAAACUUGAGUAGUGGUGAGGAAAGUGGAAUUCCUAGUGUAGUGGUGAAAUACGUAGAUAUUAGGAGGAAUACCAGUAGCGAAGGCGACUUUCUGGACACAAACUGACGCUGAGGUACGAAAGCGUGGGGAGCAAACAGG